UGGGGAAUAUUGGACAAUGGGCGCAAGCCUGAUCCAGCCAUGCCGCGUGUGUGAAGAAGGCCUUCGGGUUGUAAAGCACUUUUGUCCGGAAAGAAAAGCUUCGGGUUAAUACCCCGGGGUCCUGACGGUACCGGAAGAAUAAGCACCGGCUAACUUCGUG
rnacentral:rRNA from 1 species